rnacentral:rRNA from 1 species
AUUGAACGCUGGCGGCAGGCCUAACACAUGCAAGUCGAGCGGCAGCACAGAGGAACUUGUUCCUUGGGUGGCGAGCGGCGGACGGGUGAGUAAUGCCUGGGAAAUUGCCCUGAUGUGGGGGAUAACCAUUGGAAACGAUGGCUAAUACCGCAUGAUGCCUACGGGCCAAAGAGGGGGACCUUCGGGCCUCUCGCGUCAGGAUAUGCCCAGGUGGGAUUAGCUAGUUGGUGAGGUAAUGGCUCACCAAGGCGACGAUCCCUAGCUGGUCUGAGAGGCUGAUCAGCCACACUGGAACUGAGACACGGUCCAGACUCCUACGGGAGGCAGCAGUGGGGAAUAUUGCACAAUGGGCGCAAGCCUGAUGCAGCCAUGCCGCGUGUAUGAAGAAGGCCUUCGGGUUGUAAAGUACUUUCAGUCGUGAGGAAGGUUGUAGUGUGAAUAGCACUAUGAUUUGACGUUAGCGACAGAAGAAGCACCGGCUAACUCCGUGC